ACUAAAAUGCUCCUUUAGAACCAAGGAAGGCCAGGAGCAUGUCAGUAACCAUGGCAGCAGGGUGACAUGACCUAGGAAAGCAGGAAGUCUCUCUCCAUUGAAACGGAAAAGUGGCCUCAGUGUGACUACAAUUAUACUUCUUUUCAUCUUAAAAAGAAACAAGUGGCUCAUCACUCCUGACUGCUCCCACUGGUCCAACACCCAAAGUCUCAAACCAGAGGACUUUGAUAAAAGCUGCUUAUACAGAGAAGGUGAGAUAUGCAGUUACUGACUCUCAUUAACCAAGUGCCUUAACAGCAAUCAUGGAGCCCUGUGGGUUGUAACUGCUAGACCUGCAACCUACACUAGGACAUGCCACCAUCAAGGCAGGAAUGAGUGCAUUCCCUCUUUCAAUAAAGUACUAUGAUUCACCAGC